GGUGGGGUUCCCAAGCGGCCAAAGGGAGCAGACUGUAAAUCUGCCGUCAUCGACUUCGAAGGUUCGAAUCCUUCCCCCACCACCA
rnacentral:tRNA from 4 species